UACGUAGGGUGCAAGCGUUAAUCGGAAUUACUGGGCGUAAAGCGUGCGCAGGCGGUUUUGUAAGUCUGACGUGAAAUCCCCCGGGCUCAACCUGGGAAUUGCGUUGGAGACUGCAAGGCUAGAACCUGGCAGAGGGGGGUAGAAUUCCACGUGUGAGCAGUGAAAUGCGUAGAGAUGUGGAGGAACACCGAUGGCGAAGGCAGCCCCCUGGGUCAAGAUUGACGCUCAUGCACGAAAGCGUGGGGAGCAAACAGG
rnacentral:rRNA from 1 species